UUCGCCGACUCUUCAUCAAUCUUCUAAACCAAAUGAGGGUGGACUUGCCGCUGCUUGCGUGAGGUUGAAGGUUGCUAUGUGGAGCUACGAUAUGUGAUGCCAACCCUGCCCAACCACAUGUGGAUCCUGAUAUGUGAUGCCUACCCUACCCAAUCGCAUGUGGACACGGAUCGUAUGAGGUCUGCAUACUGCAUGCAGAGUCAAAACCCUACAAAAAGACGAACGUGCGUGCAUGACACAUGGAGUCUGCAGACUGCAAGCAAUGCAUAGUAAACUAGCGCGAACCUCAGCUGGACGACCGGCGAUUUUCCUGGGCGGUUGAUGUGGAGGACCUGUGGAUGUGGUCAUUUACGUAAGCAACUGAUCAAUUAAAACUGGAUAUGGAGCAUUCACCUCGAUCAACGUGCAAAGCAACCGAUCAAGUCUACCUGUUGAUGUUAACUUCUCAAUCACAUGAGGAUAAUGCGCGCAUCCCUCUUGUAAUGUUAACUUCUCAAUCGAUAGUUAAUGUUAAUUUCUCAUUCUCUUACUUAUAAAUAGCGUAUUUCCACGUAAAAAUUUCAUAACAAAAUCAGUUAGUCUCUUAAUCUUUAUUUGAAAAUUAUUUUUACAAAAAAUUAUUCAAAUCAGUAAUUGUUUAGUCUUUUAAUCUUCAUUUAAGGAUUCUCUACAAAAUCAACAUUUCAUCAUAAAUGUAGUACUUGGUAUCUACACAUUGAUUUAUUAAUUUGAUAAUGACUAAACGAUCAUCGAUUUGAAUGAUAUUUUUUAAGGAUGAUCUUUAAAUGAAGAUUGAGAGAUUGAUCAAUUCUUAUUAUGAAAUUUCAUAUUGAAGAUAUGUUAUUACAAGUGGAGGAAUGCGCUUAUCCCCAAAGAGGAUGCAAGUAUUAUCCUCACAUGAUUUAUGAAAGAAAUUAAGCAAUGUGUUUUUUUUUUCCAUUAAUGUAAUGACCAUCAUUAAUUAUAAAUUUUUUAAUUAGGAUUAGGGUAAUGGUUCAAUUCCUUUAAUCGUUACAAAAACAAAAGAUAAGAAGUUUAUGCAGCCAAAAAUAAACAUAAAGGAAAAUAAAUUAAAGCAUAAAACCCCUACCGCAUCCUGUGCAAGAAAAUAAUCAAACAGAGAGUUCUUGACAUAGAGGUCAGGUCCCUGACAACUUUGUACAUAUCAUGGUUACCUCUUAUUUUUCAUGAUUUUACCUUUCUGCCUUGGAAAAAUAUGGUCUUCAGAAAAUUUCCCGUGAUUGUUGCUUCUUGGACAUUUUUCAAAGAUGGCAAAAAAUAAUUAAAUUAAUAUUCCCACUUUGCAGCACCAUUAUUUUCGAGUGAAUUAGUAUUAACAUACAAUUAAGAUUCCAGUUCCACAAUUCAUGUGUUUGUGUUUCCAUUCCAAUUAUUUAGCCUCUGUUCCAAGUAACAACUGUACUUAUAAAGUCCGGGUUUCUUAUUCAGAUAAUUUAUAUUUUAAGUCUUUUUUAUAUAUUUAUAAUGCUAUACCUUCUUUUUGCUUUUCUAUUAUUUGAGUUUUGUUAAAUCCUGAUCGAAUCUCCUUCUUUGGUAUCAGGCUGUUUUUUAUAUGCAGGUGAUUUGAAGUUGGAGUCACUUCUAUAGUUUUUGAGUGAACUUGGGCCACAAUUAAGAAGAUCCCUAAAUUAAUUACCUCUAUUUUCUUUAUUUGGGCCACAAAUUAUUUUCUUUAUUUCGUUCGUUGCAUGUGUUUGGACUUUGCAUAAUCUAAAUUUGUAUUGAAAUAAGCGGCUGCACCUUUUAUUAGUUAGUUAUUACAUACCCGUAUUCUAGAGGACAUUUUUUAAGUUUGAUUUCUAAAUCACACGAUGGUUACCAGGAUAAGCUGAAAAACAUCUAUGAGUAUUUUCUGUCUCUAAAAAGUAGAUUGUUGUAGUGAAACCACUAACCAGUCCAUUUUUUACUAUGCAUUUACAAAAUCACAACAAAGCUACAGAAUUCAAUCAAAGCGAGCCACAUCUAAGUAUAAACUCAUUCAUUAUGAAUAUAUAUUUUCUUUGUUAUAUAUUUACUUGAAUCCAAUCUGAAAUCUUUUUUUAAUUAGUUUGUACGAACCAUGGCUAGUUUCAAAGAUGUCCUUAUUUUAGCUUUAUUGUUUGUUUAUCCAGUGCCCCUCCCGCAUGAUUAAUUUUGAUAUGUAUCGAUUGAAAGUUGUGAUAUUUUGUUAUGAGUAAUGUGAGGGAAACUAAAUUUGUAGACAAAAUUUAGUUUGCAAAUUUUUUCUACAAAUUAUUCUCCCUAACAUUACUCUUUCAAUAUGGGUAAUGCUAGAUUUGGAUGAUGUGGGUGAUUGGAUUAUUACUCAAGUGUUGAUUAACAUGCUCAUUUCUUAUUGGUGACACAUUAUUUAGUUUGUAAAUUUGUUAUCCCUAGCAUUAUCCAAUAUGUAUUCAGAGUAAUGUUAGGUAAACCAUUUCUUAGACACAUUUGUAAACCAUGUGAUAUGUCACAAAUAAAAAAUAAGCACAUUAAUCAAUACUUAAGUAAUAAUCAAAUCAUCAACAACAUAGUUUACAUUGCUUAAAUUCAUGGUCUCGUCAACAUUAUCCAUAUAUCAGCUGCUUAUUAUAUCCAUGUGGAGUUUGGACUCUUCCAUGCAUUAAAUCUCUUUCAGAAGCGCUACGUUUAAGGAGAGAGAUUUAUCUGUAUACACGUCGACUCAAAAUCUCAAGUUGCGGGAAGACAGCGCACAUGUUGAAUGCCUUCACCCACCAAGCACGUUGGGAUCGAUUGAUUACAAUGAUUUAGAUAAGUUCGAGACAUCGAACUUCCUCUAGAGCAAAACAUGAUCAAAUGGACGAAUUUUUGGAGUGAUUCAAAUUGGAGGACGUUCAUGUGUCUCUUGGCGUGUUCGUAUCAAAAUUUGGGAUUUUUCUACUAAGCAGUUAUUUUCUGGCGACGGAAUAAAGGAGUAGUGCGUAGUACUGGAAAAUAAUGUUUCUAGGCUUAAAUUGCGUUUUUGGAGCCUGAGAGGACCUCUGAUGGGUUUGUGGCUUUCUGGAAAAGUGUUCAAAAUAUUCCAAACCUUAAAUCCAUUUGUAUUGGGCCGAUUUUGGAUUAGUUUAGGGGUCCAAAACGUGGCUAUUCAGAUUUUAGGCGAAUUUUCCCAUUUAAUUUAGGGUUAUGUUUCAUAUUUUAUUUUAGUUUUUAGUUUCCUAGUUGGAUUGGAAGACAUUUUAUUAGGAGGAUUUAAUUUCUGCUAGGUUAAAUAAGGUUGGCCGGCUUCAUUCUUUAAAAAACUUCUUCUCUGUGCGUUCUUGAAGAGAGGAAUUUGGCCAAGCGUAGAGAUUUUCAGACUUCUUCCAUUCUAGGUGUUUUCAAUCUUUUAUUAUUUCAAUAAAGAACUCUAUGAUUUUUAUUA